AGAGGCCAGGCAAAAUCGACCCUUUUAAAGUCUUUACUUCAUUCUCGUUACACGACAACGAGCAAAGAGGGGUAGUUGUAACAGGCCCAAUUUGCCUGGCCCGUUAUACUAAACCAAAAAAUAAUAAAUAAUAAAUUAGCCCAAAUGUCUAGGCCUAAAAUCCAGGCCCAAUUACAACAAGCCCUAAAAAAUAAAAAACCCUAGCCCAACUAAAAACAAAAGUAGAAACCCUAGCCCCCUUUCAGCAGUCGCCGUCGCCGCACCUUUCCCACGCGCGCCGCCACGUGCC
rnacentral:lncRNA from 1 species